CCUGGAGGAGCCGAGAGCCCGGGGCCCCACUCCUCAGUGCGCCCUCAGAGAACAGCGCCCAAUUAUUCCUGUCUCCAUGGCCUCCGGCCAUGCUCCGAGUUCACCAAGCCUGAGACCGGUUCAAGGGGUCGAUAUGACAUGGGACCAUCAAAGAGUUCAAGUUGGCCACAGCUCAUACAGUUGACAACAAGAGAAAUCAAAUGACAGAUUCAAGUUGGCAAUCUGGAUCCUCAAAUUCUGUCAAAGCUGCAAUUUCACUGGAGAGAGACACAGAGGGAAGACAGCCAUGUAAAGAUGGAGCCAGAGAUUGAGCGAUGUGUCCACAUCUAUGGAAUAGCAAGGAUCACCGGAUGUCACCAGAAUCCUAGAAAGGCAUGGAACAGAUUCUCCCUCAGAACCCUCAGAAGGAAGUGACCCCGCCAACACCUUGAUUCUAGACUUCUAGCCUCUAGAACUGGAAGAGAAUACCUUUAUGCGUUUCAAACCUCCCAAUUUGUGGGACUUUGUUAUGGCAGCCCUAGGAAACUAAUACACAUGCUACAUAUACAGAAAAAAAUAAAAAUAAGUAAGAGUGUGGAGAGGGAGUAUUGGGUGGGCAGCUAGCUCUUUAUAAAGAUUACUCAGGGAGAACCACAGCUAAGAUGGUAUUUGAACAGAAACUUGAAACAAGGAGGAACCAGACAAGCAGAUCUCUGGGGGAGAGCCUAUCAGGUUAGGACACAGCCAGGCAAACCUCCAAAGGGAGAGCAAACUGGAUGCCUAUGUGCCUAGAGAGAGUGGAUACUGGUCAGAGGGGUGGGGGUAAAGGCAGUGAUGGUGCCUGAGGGCUUUUACUAGCAGAGCAAUUGGAAUAUUUUUGAGGGUUUUGGAUAGAACAGUGAUUAUCUAGUUACUCUGCUGAGCAUAAACUGUCAUGGGGCCAGAAAGGAAUCAGGAUGAAGGCCAAUUCAGUAGCUAUGGAAAUCAUCCCACCAGAAGAUGAAGGUGGUUUGGGCCAGGAUGGUUGCAAUGAAGAUGAGAUAGAGAGGUGAGUUCUUUUAGGUUCUAAGUUCUAGCACAGUCGAAAGAGCUGGUAGGUUUUGCUGAAGGACUGGAUAUGCGAUAUGAAAAAGUCAAAGAGAGGCGCCUGGUGGGAAAAGUCCGUUAAGGGUCUAAUCCCUGGUUUCAGUUCAGGUCAUGAUCUCAGAGCUGUCAUCUCAGGGUCGUGAGAUCAAGCCCCAU